rnacentral:rRNA from 1 species
UACGUAGGUGGCAAGCGUUGUUCGGAAUUACUGGGCGUAAAGCGCGCGUAGGCGGCUCUUCAAGUCAGACGUGAAAGCCCCGGGCUUAACUCGGGAACUGCGUUUGAUACUGUCGAGCUAGAGUGUGGAAGGGGCGAUUGGAAUUCCGUGUGUAGCGGUGAAAUGCGUAGAUAUACGGAGGAACACCAGAGGCGAAGGCGGAUCGCUGGGCCAACACUGACGCUGAGGCGCGAAAGCUAGGGGAGCAAACGGG